GAGUUUGAUCGUGGCUCAGAGUGAACGCUGGCGGCGUGCUUAAAACAUGCAAGUCGAACGGGGUCCAACCAGUCGCAAGACUGGGGAAGACCUAGUGGCGAACGGGUGCGUAACACGUGAGGAACCUGCCCCGGAGACCGGGAUAACCCUCCGAAAGGAGAGCUAAUACCGGAUGCCCCCACCUGAUCGCAUGGUCGGGUGAGGAAAUGGAUUCCGCUCCGGGAUGGCCUCGCGGCCUAUCAGCUUGUUGGUGAGGUAACGGCUCACCAAGGCAUCGACGGGUAGCUGGUCUGAGAGGACGAUCAGCCACACUGGGACUGAGACACGGCCCAGACUCCUACGGGAGGCAGCAGUUAGGAAUCUUGCGCAAUGGGCGAAAGCCUGACGCAGCAACGCCGCGUGGGGGAUGAAGGCUCUCGGGUUGUAACCCCUUUCAGCAGGGACGAUUGUGACGGUACCUGCAGAAGAAGGACCGGCCAACUACGUGCCAGCCGCCGCGGU
rnacentral:rRNA from 1 species